GGAACAGUGUGUGCCAGGGUGGGUUUGAAGAACAGCAAGAAGGCCACUGGGACAGCAGCUAGAAGGGAAGAGAAAUAGCUUCCAGAUGAAGAAGUGAAGCUGCCUGGCGCAUAGAUGUGUUCAAGUCUCCCUUCUUUUCGCUCAAGGAGAGUGAAGAGUGGAUGGUGCCAAUUCUAGCUGGGAGGAGUGAAGGACAGGGAGGGGGACGAUGAGGCAGGAGGAGACCACGCCGCCCUCCUGGGAGGGGGCUGACUCGACCCAGCUGGUUCGGGUGUGCACCAUCCUCACUCUCUCCGCCCUUCCAGGGCUGCACUGCGCCCCGCUCUCGGCAAGACACAGGGCGUUCAACUGCAGGACGAAGCGUCCCCAACGCGCACACCCGCCUCUGGAGACCCGAGUGUGUGCAGGAGGCCAGCCCCGCCGAAGCGCCGUCCAGGAGCUGCCGAAGCGCCUUCCAGGAUCUGCCGAAGCGCCGUCCGGGAUCUGCCGCCGCACGCAAGAGCCCAACCAUAGAGGACAGCGGGGGCACCUACUACCCGUGGAGAUCCCAAACUCCUCUCACCCCAGCCCCAAAGCACUUCUCCCAAUGCUGCUGCCGUGCCUGAAUCCCGCCCACGCGUGAGAAUCACUCCAUUAUUACAGAAGACCCCUGUCAAAUGCACACGCGUUAACCACGUGUUACCCAAGGACGACUCAGUCAUCCUUUAGGACUCGGUGACACAUUAGCACAGAUGAACCUGGCACUGAGGUGGGAUGAGGUGGGGGGAUCUUUUGGCCGCAGGUCAUUGAGGAUAUUGUUAUUACUGCAAAGACCACAGAACAUCCAUGGUUUAGUCACUUAUUCCUUGCCAGGAGCUUCGUCUCAUUGUCUCUUUUAAUAAACAAUAUUUUGAGAUCACUUUGUUAUAGUGAUGUCUGCUGGUUUCCCCACUGUAAAAUGACUAGUUUUCCCUUUGUAAUUAAUAAAUAUUUGGGAGGAGAUGCUCUGAGACUGUGACGUA
rnacentral:lncRNA from 1 species